AAUGGAGGAAACUCUGAUGCAGCGAUGCCGCGUGAGUGAAGAAGGCCUUUGGGUUGUAAAGCUCUUUCGUCGGGGAAGAAAAUGACUGUACCCGAAUAAGAAGGUCCGGCUAACUUCGUGCCAGCAGCCGCGGUAAUACGAAGGGACCUAGCGUAGUUCGGAAUUACUGGGCUUAAAGAGUUCGUAGGUGGUUGAAAAAGUUGGUGGUGAAAUCCCAGAGCUUAACUCUGGAACUGCCAUCAAAACUUUUCAGCUAGAGUUUGAUAGAGGAAAGCAGAAUUUCUAGUGUAGAGGUGAAAUUCGUAGAUAUUAGAAAGAAUACCAAUUGCGAAGGCAGCUUUCUGGAUCAUUACUGACACUGAGGAACGAAAGCAUGGGUAGCGAAGAGGAUU
rnacentral:rRNA from 1 species